CCCUUAGACGUUCUGGGCCGCACGCGCGCUACACUGACCAGUGCAACAAGCAUCCGUCCUUGGCCGACAGGCCCGGGCAAUCUUUGAACGCUGGUCGUGAUGGGGAUAGACUUUUGCAAUUUUUGGUCUUCAACGAGGAAUUCCUAGUAAACGCAAGUCAUCAACUUGCAUUGAUUACGUCCCUGCCCUUUGUACACACCGCCCGUCGCACCUACCGAUUGAAUGGUCCGGUGAAGCCUCCGGAUUGGCGCGCACCUCGGUACCGCCGAGAAGUUGGCUAAACCUUACCAUUUAGAGGAAGGUGAAGUCGUAACA
rnacentral:rRNA from 1 species